AUUGAACGCUGGCGGCAUGCCUUACACAUGCAAGUCGAACGGUAGCGCGGGGCAACCUGGCGACGAGUGGCGAACGGGUGAGUAAAGCAUCGGAACGUGCCCUGGAAUGGGGGAUAACGUAGCGAAAGUUACGCUAAUACCGCAUAUUCUGUGAGCAGGAAAGCAGGGGAUCGCAAGACCUUGCGUUCUGGGAGCGGCCGAUGUCGGAUUAGCUAGUUGGUGGGGUAAAAGCCUACCAAGGCGACGAUCCGUAGCGGGUCUGAGAGGAUGAUCCGCCACACUGGGACUGAGACACGGCCCAGACUCCUACGGGAGGCAGCAGUGGGGAAUUUUGGACAAUGGGCGGAAGCCUGAUCCAGCCAUGCCGCGUGAGUGAAGAAAGCCUUCGGGUUGUAAAGCUCUUUCGGUGGGGAAGAAAUUGCACGGGUUAAUACCCUGUGUAGAUGACGGUACCCGACUAAGAAGCACCGGCUAACUACGUGCCAGCAGCCGCGGUAAU
rnacentral:rRNA from 1 species